GACCUAAUGGCACAACGGCUAGUGCGCCUGCUAAUGUUGAGGGGAAAUUAAAGGUAUACAGGAGGUCCUAGUUCGAUUCUGGGUUGGGUCA